rnacentral:rRNA from 1 species
CCCCUAGAUGUUCUGGGCCGCACGCGCGCUACACUGAACAGUUCAACAAGUCUUAACCUUGGCCGAUAGGUCUGGGUAAUCUUUGAACGCUGUUCGUGAUUGGGAUAGACCUUUGCAAUUAUGGGUCUUCAACGAGGAAUUCCUAGUAAACGCAAGUCAUCAACUUGCAUUGAUUACGUCCCUGCCCUUUGUACACACCGCCCGUCGCACCUACCGAUUGAAUGGUCCGGUGAAAUCUCGGGACGGCGGCUUGGUCGCUUGCGUCCGACUGCUGAAACUUGAUUAAACCAUAUCAUUUAGAGGAAGGUGAAGUCGUAACA